rnacentral:rRNA from 1 species
GAUGAACGCUGGCGGCGUGCCUAAUACAUGCAAGUCGAGCGAACAGACGAGGAGCUUGCUCCUCUGACGUUAGCGGCGGACGGGUGAGUAACACGUGGAUAACCUACCUAUAAGACUGGGAUAACUUCGGGAAACCGGAGCUAAUACCGGAUAAUAUAUUGAACCGCAUGGUUCAAUAGUGAAAGACGGUUUUGCUGUCACUUAUAGAUGGAUCCGCGCCGCAUUAGCUAGUUGGUAAGGUAACGGCUUACCAAGGCAACGAUGCGUAGCCGACCGGAGAGGGUGAUCGGCCACACUGGAACUGAGACACGGUCCAGACUACUACGGGAGGCAGCAGUAGGGAAUCUGCCGCAAAGGGCGGAAGCCUGACGGAGCAACGUCGCGUGAGUGAUGAAGGUCUUCGGAUCGUAAAGCUCUGUUAUUAGGGAAGAACAAAUGUGUAAGUAACUAUGCACGUCUUGACGGUAACUAAUCAGAAAGCCACGGCUAACUACGUG